AUACUUACCUGGCAGGGGAGAUACCAUGAUCACCAAGGUGGUUUUCCCAGGUCGAGGCUUAUCCAUUGCACUCCGGAUAUGCUGACCCUGUGAUUUCCCCAAAUGUGGGAAACUCAGCUGCAUAAUUUGUGGGGAACUGCGUUUGCACUGUCCCCUG
ensembl:snRNA U1 U1 spliceosomal RNA